AGAGCACAGCCUGGAGUGAUAGAACAUUGAUUCCUACAUGGCGACGUCAGUCUUCCACUUCUUAAACCAGUGCUGUUAAAGAAGUCACCCAAAUCCAAAAGAAGCCAAUAGGAAACACAUAUUAGUAUUUUUAACUUAUGAUGAAGAUCAUGGAAUAUCCAGUCAUUGCAAGAAGAUGGCUUUUUGAAGAAAAGAGGGGAUUCGAUUUAAAAAAAAAAUCUAACAAUCAAAGGACGUAGGGAAUAGAGAUUAUACUGACACAGGAGAUGAAGGUGUUCGUUGCGGUAGGUAGCAUGCCCCUUCCCUUCAGGUAAACUCUUGGACAUUGAAUAAGAUUCUAUAUAGCAUGAAGUCUAGAAACCCCCAAACAGGUUUAGGUGUUUCAAAGCAGACUGAAACCUUUGCCAUCAGCAUUCUGUGGAAAGGACCCUUGUUUCAAUUCUACUGUGCAACCAUCAGGGAGAAAUGGUAGUGGGGGCUGUCAGGGUUGCUGCCUCUUUGUGUGUUAUCUUUUAGCUUUCCUUUCCUUUCCCUGGCAUUAUAAAAUAUAAAAUAUAAAGAAAAGAUGCACCUACAUGAUUAGAAGCCUUAUGUCUAGGUUAUCUUUUUUAUUAGAAUUAGUGACCCAAUAACAUCUAAUAACCUUCAGGUAAUGCUGGAACGUGUAUCUCUAGUCCUUAUAGCCACAUAUUAUCAAUUUGUAUAAAACAUGUGAAUUAAUAUGAGGUUUAGCUUUCAGAUAAGCCAUGUGCUUGUCUCCAGAAAAAGCAGAAUCCAGCCCUAGAAGGCUAAGGAUGAUUACAAUAUUCAGAGAGAAAAGGAAGCAUAUACCCCAGAAUUUGAAAAGUCUUUGCAGAAUGUAUCUGUAUCUGAGUUCUCUAAGGUUGUGGGUUGGGAUCUGUUGUUGUUGUUUUAUAUGUGAGAGCCUCAUAAUAAAUCUCAUUUGUGUACCACCAACUAUCACAUUCUAAGCAAUGACUUUCAAAUUGUGAGCAGAUGGACUGGAGUCCAGUAAUGGUAUGUCUGUAGAAAGGACUUGUGAAAUAAUAUUCCCCAACAUUGGUGAGAAAGAACAUCUGAUGUUCCCUGUACACAAAGAAAAAUGUUUAUCAUGAGUUAAGGAUUUAAACGUCUGGGACAUUCACACACACCCUUAUAAAGCUGCAGGAAGAAUCCUGGCAAUAUGCUCACAUGGUGUGUGUGUGUGUGUGUGUGUAAUUUACAGAAGUCACAUAUUUUGAUGCAAUUGAUCAGAAUUGCCCAUGUCUUUCCAUCUGAGAAAUACCUUUGUCACACUUCCCUGUGUGUUGGACAGUUGGGAUAGCCAUUGUCAUAUUUUGGAAGAGGAAAUUUAAUUGAGAGUGCACUUAUGUCAGAUUUUGGUUGGAUAUAUUUACAUUGUUCCAGUUACUUUUGUAUAAAGUGUAAUUGUUUAAGUUGAUUGUCUAAGUACCCAAAUCAGUACCCCACACCUUUCUGUCACUCACUUUGUCAAAUCAUCUACUCAUGGCACAAAGCUAUAGGGCCACAAGUCACAGUCUGGUGUAAAGAUAUUCACUAGCACCAAUGCAUGGCACUCAUUAUGAACAGCCAGGUGCUGUCAAUGCAAAGUUCUUCCACUUGCAAGCUAUACAAAAAAAAAUGUAAAAUCAAACACUCAGCUCUCAUUAAUAGCUAAUCAGAGUAGAAACUAUUCACCAGAAAUAAAUCCCGGGAUUUAUCUAGCUCAACAAAACUGUAAUUGUAUUACCUGUUUUUAAAGAGGUAGUUCCCUAAAUUUAUUAAAUGCAUCUCCGCAUGACUUAGGUUCUCUCUCUGCUCUACCUACAAAAGGCUUGGGACACUUGACUCUAGGAAGAGCUUUUUUUUCCCACCUGGUUCUGAUGUCCUUGAGCUGAGUGAGGGGUUGGACCUAGACUUGUGUGUGAAGGGUUAGCUGUUGAUGGGUGGCUUGUCCUGGUGUCCUUGGUUUGAAACAUGGAGAUGCUGUUUCUGGAGAUGUGAGAUAACCCAAAAAGUAUGCUCUAUUGUGAGUAUAGAAAGGUAGACAGUAUGGUUGGGCAGAUGAUCAAAGGAACAGGAAGAAAACAGGAGGCAAACUCAAGUAGUCAAUCCUUAACAUCUCCUUUCAGACUGCUUCUAGUGUCCUUUUGGCAUAGCCCGUCAGGAAACCCUGGCAAAGGAGAAGUAUGGUGUGGUGUGUGUAGUUGUAACUCCAAUGGUGUUGACAUGGGCAUCAUGGGUGGUAGUAGAACAUGUGUCUGGCUUUGGUCUCUGAUUCCUCGGAAGGAUACUCUAAACUCUCAAUAUCCUGAAAACUGAGUGUAUUUGCUCUUCAUGAGCCCUGUGGAUUGUACAGCAAUUCUGACUAAUAGAUGACUCCUAGGGGAUGGUUACCAUAUCCUGUGAAGCUUGGGUCCUGGAACCUCAAGUAAGGACAGACAUUCAGACACACAUACAGAAAAUCUGUGGUCAAGUGGGGUGAGUCAUACCUAUUGCUGCUACAACCUGCAACUUCAGUGUGUUUAUUAUGUACAGCACAGGGAGGAAGGGUUAGCCAGUGUAGGUAGGAGGUAUAAGUAGGCAAGCUGUCUCAGGCUGUAAACAUCCAUGAGAAAGAGGAAACUACAGUUGCUACUUUUUAUACACACUGAUAAAUCCUCUAUACACAAUCCUCCUUUAUUUCCAUUUCAGAGUCUGACCUACAUGGGGAACGGCUCUGCCAAUUUCCUCUAGGAUUGAGGCUUUGGACUCCUUCACAAGGGCUGUGCCCCAUGUCAAUGAAUGUUCAGUCAGGAUUCUACUCACCAGAAAGACUAGUCAAGUGAUGAAAGUUUCAGAGUGAGCCUUAAACCAGUAUGAUCUCUGGGCAGGAGACAAGAGCUGGGGAUCGAAUAAAACCGAAUGGACAAUUAUUUAAUCAGUCAUGCCUACUGAAUGAAACUCUAAAAAACUUAGACCACCAAAGCUCAUAACUUCCUUUUUGGUGAACAUACCAAUAUUCUAGGACAGGGAUGUAUCUUGGCCUUUCAAAGUGUAAUUACAACUCAUUUUGUGUCCCAACAUUUGAUCCAUGUGUACUUGGUAGAAAUGCAUAUUUUGCUGUUGUUUGGUAGAAUGCUCUGUGUAUAUCUCUCUGGUACAGUGAACUUAUAGAACGUCCAACUCUUUUCUUCCCAGUCUUCUGUCUGUUUGCUUAUCACCCUUGAAAGUGAGGUUUCAUAGUCACCUAUUAUGUGUCUACUUGAGGUUGCAGUCACUAUUAAGUGUCUACUUCUGUCUUUCAGUCUGUCAUUGCUUGUUUCAUAUGUUUAUAAACUCUGAUGUUUGUUGCAUAUAUGCUAAUUAUUUUAUCUUUUUGAUGAAUUAACCCUUUAAUGACUAUAUAAUGCUAUUCUUUGUUUUCUGGUCUCUUCUAGUGAAUUCCAGCUUAAUUAUAUUGGCUAAGACCGCUAUCUGUUGUGGCUUGAAUGUGUUUGAAAUCCACAGGCUCAUGUGUUUGAAAUCUUGCUUUUCAGAUGAUAGUGCUGCUUGGAAAGGUUGUGAAACCUCUAAGAGUUAGAUCCUGAUGGAGACAAGGGGUCAGUGGGGAUAGCCCAUGGCUCUUUACAGUCUGGCCCUGCUUCCUGGUCUUCCUCUGCUUCCUGACUGUUGAAACAAUGUGUCCCACCAGACUCAUGCUCUUUCCUCUUCAUGAUGGAUUGAUUGUACCACUUUGUAACCUUAAACUGGAAUAAACACCUUUUCU
rnacentral:lncRNA from 1 species